CUCCUUAGGAACAUCAUGCUCAAGGUUUGAUGAGCUCUAAGUUUGAGCUUAUGGCAAUAACAAUAUCUUGGCUCAUGUCCUUAGAAAUUGUAUCUGAGUGGGAACAGCUUCUCCAGACUCUCUGGUAAAAUGUCUUGGAUGGAAAACAACCACAGCAAAUACCAUUCAUAUUUGCUGGAUUGAUUUCCAUUCUGGACAGGGAAUGGAUAAGUGAACACUAGCAAUUGCUGCCCCGUUUCUCUUUUUGUUGGAGUUUUCUGACAUUCCUAUCAAAGAUACACAUCUGCAGGGCUGGAU